rnacentral:tRNA from 1 species
CAGAAAAUAGAUUAAUUUAGAAUUCUGGCUUUGGGAGCCAGUGGUGAGAGUUAAAAUCUCUCUUUUCUGG